rnacentral:lncRNA from 1 species
GAUGUUGUGUCUGCCGAAAACUAAAAAAAAAUAAAUAUUAAAAAAUUAAAAAAAAAAAAAAAAGAAGUAGCUGUUUAAGGUUGGAUGAGCCCCACAGAGGACGUGCUCAUAGAAUGUUGGACAUUGGAAUGCAAUUUCUAUUCAGCUCCAACCUUGUCUUCACCUUGCUGACUGGUGGGACUGCAGAGCCAUCUUGGAGCUAUAUUCUUCAGCUCCAUAUCCAUACCCCACCCAAAUUGCAUUCAUUUCCUGUGCUGUUGCUUAGUGUUUGCUGAAGAACCAACUUAGAAUUUUAUAUAUUGUAUAAUAUCGGAAACCACAUUUGAUUGGUAAGUUUUCCAACCUAAAAUUAAAAUGUAAAACAAAAUAUGUUCUUCGGUAUAUCAUCUAAACUCACUGUCACUCCCUGUUUUUCCUGAUAAUGUCCUUUGAGAGAUAAAGCUCUGACUAGGAAGGGUAUUUGGGAGGCUGACUGGGUAGAGAGGAGGGCUGGGGGCUGGGUAAGCCCACCUCCCAUCUCUGCUGUGAGUCUCUGCCUGUUGAGGGCCUAGCAUUCCCAGGGUGCUAGGGGGCCAUCAAAUAUGAGUUGAUAGGAUGCAGUAAGGUAUUGAGCACAGACUCAAAUGAGGUGAAUGCUUGUCCUGCAGUAUUGUGACAAGGAAGUGCAGUGUAGGAUUGCAUGAGUUAAGAUUUUGUAUAAUACUUAACCAUGUACCAGACAUUGUACUUUGAAUACUGAACCAAACAGAGAAGGUACAAGCAAUACCUGUUCAUGGAGAGUAUUCCUACAAAGGGAAUAGAUAAGGGACUGAGGAAAGGAUUAUAAGGAACUCAAGUUAAUAGGGCUGCUCAGAGAAGGUAUGGCUGAAGAGGUGACACUUAAAACAGAUUAUAAAUGGUGGAAAGGAACCAGUCAGGAGCAAACUAUAGCAGAAAGAUAGUUUGUCGUAUCCUGGGGGAAAUUCAGUACUUCAGGUAGAUAGUGAAAGGCAGUAAUAGCUAUCAUAGCAUCCAUUGUAGGUGCUAGGAAACCAUGAAAUUGUGUUGGUUUCAGCUGUACCAGUGAGUUCUUUGGCCUCAAAUCCUUUAGGAGCAGGUUGGAAUUCUUUGAAGGGGCCAUGCGAUUCCCUGAGGAGGCUUGAACCCACUCUGUCCAACUGGAAUUGCCUUAGAUCUCAGGAAUUGGCUGAGGCCAAGCUAAUCCAAGAGACUGGACUUUCUGAUGCCUCUGCCUAUGACUUUUAGAGGAGGCAUGUGGUGCACAAAGGGCAGCACACCAGAUGUGACAUAAUUUCAC